AAGUCGUAACAAGGUAACCGUAGGUGAACCUGCGGUUGGAUCAUUAAAAAUAACAAUUUGCCACCCAUUGUAUGGUUGAGUCCGGCUUGUCCGCGGCCCAGCCCCAAAACAUUGGGAUUUUUGGCCCCACAUCUUGUGCACUGUACCGUCUUUGGUGGUGGGGUGGGGCAUUGCAGUAUGCUUUUGUCUCAUCUGUCAGCUUGGAUCGCAAGGUCCAUGCCGUGGACAAGCCACCGCAUGUAUUCAAACAUUUUCUUUUUCUUUUGUCUGACAUUUCAACUUGUACUAAUAUACAAACAACUUUUGGCAACGGAUCUCUUGGUUCUC
rnacentral:misc_RNA from 1 species